CAAAAUAGUGCUUUCUAAUGGGCCAUUGAAUUUCUAACAUAUUUAGUCCUGUGGUUUCAAAAGUAGAGUGGAGACAAAUGAUACUGUCUGGUUUUUCAGCUAAUAAUGAUUUUGAAUAUAUUUGGGAGAGAAAUAUUCAUAGAAAAAUACACAAGUCAUACCUCAGUUGCAAGGCUUUAUUGUAAGAUUUUGGGUGUGGCUCUGCAGCUGUUGUUACCUAACUGUUAAUUAGGCAACGGUUAUGACACUGCACUCUCUGCAGCUGUCACAGUGAGCUUUGCCAGGUGAGCACUUGUGUGUGUGUGUGUGUGUGUGUGUGUGUGUUUCCCUGUAGAAAUCAGUCACUGGGGAGGGAGAAAGGGUGUGCCAGUGGUAUGUUUUUUAAUUAAUAAUUAAUUACAGAUGGAAAAGAAAGGAAGCGGGUGCAGAGAAGUAACAAAGAAGAAAUAAUUUGAAAUGAGGAGUAAGAAUGGAGAGGAGGAGAAUAUGACAGUGAGUGGGAGAAACUGACAAGUAUGAUAUUGAGGUGGAAAAAUAUAUAUAUGUAUAUGUAUGUGUGUUUGUGUGUGUGUGUGUGUAUGUAUGAGAGAUAGAGAGACAGGGAGAGAAGGGAGGGGGCAGAGGAAUGAAGGAUGAAAGAGGAGAGAGGCAGAUAGAGAUAACCUGUGACAGUGAAACAGAGAGAUAAUGGCAGACAGAUUUAAUGAGGUCUUCCCAGAUGUAAUACUGAACUGUAAUUAUUCCGCUCUCCUGUUUGCCUGGCUUUAUACUUGUGUGUGCAGCUCCUAACAUCCCUGCUGAACUACUAUGAAGCAGACUGUGUCCCUUGGCACAAGUACUCACCAUCAGCACAUGACCGUACCUGGAGGCAGGACUGUUCCUCAGCAGGUUAUACGUUGUUACUCUCAGAAGCUGAACAACGGUCGAAACUCCUAAUCCUCCUGUCACAGAGACCAUUUCUUCCCAUGAGAAGAAAAGGCUCACAAAUGUGGAGGGUCACAGAGGCAGCAGUCUCAUCAGGGAAGCCCAGACCUAUCUGUAAGGCUGAGCCCAUCCACCCUGUGGAGGAAACUCGUUUCAGCUGCUUGGAUUCACAAUCUUGUUCUUUUGGUCACUACCCAUAGCUUGUGACCAUAGGUGAGGGUAUGGAAUGUAGAUUGACUGGUAAAUCGAGAGCCUUGCCUUUUGGCUCAGCUCUUUCUUCACCACAAUACUCGUUCACUCAUGAACAAGACCCCAAGAUACUUGAACUCCUUCACUUGGGGCAGCAACCUGACCCGACCUAGAGUGGGCAAUCCCCUGGCGGAGUCCAAUCCUAACUGGCAAUGAGUUUGACUUAUUGCCGGGAAUGCGAACCAAACUCUCACUCCAACAACACAGCAAUUGGGUGGCCCAUAGAAACAGGCCAACCAUCCCAUAUUCCCGGAGAACCCCGACAGGAUGUCUUGAGGGACAUGGUCUUAAGCCUUUUCCAAGUCCACAAAACGCAUGUGGACUGGCUGGGCAAACUCCCAUGACUCCUCCAGCACCCUUGAGAGGCUGUAGAGCUGGUCUAGUGUGUCAUGGCCAGGGCCAAAAAAAACCUGCAUUGUUCUGCUUGAAUCCAGGCACACCGUUCACCAGCAACUCUGCUUUUCUGUCUGUUAUGAUAGUUUCUGGCCUAUUUGCAUGUGGAAAAACCUUUGUCACCUCUGAUGAACAAUAAAAGUUUCCUAAUCGCAA